rnacentral:pre_miRNA from 1 species
CAAAUACUCCCUCCGUCCGGAAAUACUUGUCAUCAAAAUGGAUAAAAGGAAAUGUAUCUAGACAUAUUUUAGUUUUAGAUACAUCUCUUUUUAUCCAUUUUUAUGACAAGUAUUUUUGGACGGAGGGAGUAUUUA